rnacentral:rRNA from 1 species
UAAUGGGUCAGCGACUUAUAUUCUGUAGCAAGGUUAACCGAAUAGGGGAGCCGAAGGGAAACCGAGUCUUAACUGGGCGUUAAGUUGCAGGGUAUAGACCCGAAACCCGGUGAUCUAGCCAUGGGCAGGUUGAAGGUUGGGUAACACUAACUGGAGGACCGAACCGACUAAUGUUGAAAAAUUAGCGGAUGACUUGUGGCUGGGGGUGAAAGGCCAAUCAAACCGGGAGAUAGCUGGUUCUCCCCGAAAGCUAUUUAGGUAGCGCCUCGUGAAUUCAUCUCCGGGGGUAGAGCACUGUUUCGGCAAGGGGGUCAUCCCGACUUACCAACCCGAUGCAAACUGCGAAUACCGGAGAAUGUUAUCACGGGAGACACACGGCGGGUGCUAACGUCCGUCGUGAAGAGGGAAACAACCCAGACCGCCAGCUAAGGUCCCAAAGUCAUGGUUAAGUGGGAAACGAUGUGGGAAGGCCCAGACAGCCAGGAUGUUGGCUUAGAAGCAGCCAUCAUUUAAAGAAAGCGUAAUAGCUCACUGGUCGAGUCGGCCUGCGCGGAAGAUGUAACGGGGCUAAACCAUGCACCGAAGCUGCGGCAGCGACACUAUGUGUUGUUGGGUAGGGGAGCGUUCUGUAAGCCUGUGAAGGUGUACUGUGAGGUAUGCUGGAGGUAUCAGAAGUGCGAAUGCUGACAUAAGUAACGAUAAAGCGGGUGAAAAGCCCGCUCGCCGGAAGACCAAGGGUUCCUGUCCAACGUUAAUCGGGGCAGGGUGAGUCGACCCCUAAGGCGAGGCCGAAAGGCGUAGUCGAUGGGAAACAGGUUAAUAUUCCUGUACUUGGUGUUACUGCGAAGGGGGGACGGAGAAGGCUAUGUUGGCCGGGCGACGGUUGUCCCGGUUUAAGCGUGUAGGCUGGUUUUCCAGGCAAAUCCGGAAAACUAAGGCUGAGGCGUGAUGACGAGGCACUACGGUGCUGAAGCAACAAAUGCCCUGCUUCCAGGAAAAGCCUCUAAGCAUCAGGUAACAUUAAAUCGUACCCCAAACCGACACAGGUGGUCAGGUAGAGAAUACCAAGGCGCUUGAGAGAACUCGGGUGAAGGAACUAGGCAAAAUGGUGCCGUAACUUCGGGAGAAGGCACGCUGAUAUGUAGGUGAAGUCCCUCGCGGAUGGAGCUGAAAUCAGUCGAAGAUACCAGCUGGCUGCAACUGUUUAUUAAAAACACAGCACUGUGCAAACACGAAAGUGGACGUAUACGGUGUGACGCCUGCCCGGUGCCGGAAGGUUAAUUGAUGGGGUUAGCGGUAACGCGAAGCUCUUGAUCGAAGCCCCGGUAAACGGCGGCCGUAACUAUAACGGUCCUAAGGUAGCGAAAUUCCUUGUCGGGUAAGUUCCGACCUGCACGAAUGGCGUAAUGAUGGCCAGGCUGUCUCCACCCGAGACUCAGUGAAAUUGAACUCGCUGUGAAGAUGCAGUGUACCCGCGGCAAGACGGAAAGACCCCGUGAACCUUUACUAUAGCUUGACACUGAACAUUGAGCCUUGAUGUGUAGGAUAGGUGGGAGGCUUUGAAGUGUGGACGCCAGUCUGCAUGGAGCCGGCCUUGAAAUACCACCCUUUAAUGUUUGAUGUUCUAACGUUGGCCCCUGAUCGGGGUUGCGGACAGUGUCUGGUGGGUAGUUUGACUGGGGCGGUCUCCUCCUAAAGAGUAACGGAGGAGCACGAAGGUUGGCUAAUCCUGGUCGGACAUCAGGAGGUUAGUGCAAUGGCAUAAGCCAGCUUGACUGCGAGCGUGACGGCGCGAGCAGGUGCGAAAGCAGGUCAUAGUGAUCCGGUGGUUCUGAAUGGAAGGGCCAUCGCUCAACGGAUAAAAGGUACUCCGGGGAUAACAGGCUGAUACCGCCCAAGAGUUCAUAUCGACGGCGGUGUUUGGCACCUCGAUGUCGGCUCAUCACAUCCUGGGGCUGAAGUAGGUCCCAAGGGUAUGGCUGUUCGCCAUUUAAAGUGGUACGCGAGCUGGGUUUAGAACGUCGUGAGACAGUUCGGUCCCUAUCUGCCGUGGGCGCUGGAGAACUGAGGGGGGCUGCUCCUAGUACGAGAGGACCGGAGUGGACGCAUCACUGGUGUUCGGGUUGUCAUGCCAAUGGCACUGCCCGGUAGCUAAAUGCGGAAGAGAUAAGUGCUGAAAGCAUCUAAGCACGAAACUUGCCCCGAGAUG